AGAGUUUGAUCCUGGCUCAGGAUGAAACGCUAGCGACAGGCUUAACACAUGCAAGUCGAGGGGCAGCGGGGAGGUAGCAAUACUUCCGCCGGCGACCGGCGCACGGGUGAGUAACACGUAUGCAACCUGCCCCUGUCAGGGGGACAACCCGCCGAAAGGCGGGCUAAACCCGCGUACAUGCCACCGGGGCAUCCCGGAGGCAGGAAGGGCUUCGGCCGGACAGGGAUGGGCAUGUGGCGCAUUAGGCAGUAGGCGGGGUAACGGCCCACCUAACCGACGAUGCGUAGGGGUUCUGAGAGGAAGGUCCCCCACACUGGUACUGAGACACGGACCAGACUCCUACGGGAGGCAGCAGUGAGGAAUAUUGGUCAAUGGUCGGGAGACUGAACCAGCCAAGCCGCGUGAGGGAGGAAGGUACAGAGUAUCGUAAACCUCUUUUGUCAGGGAACAAAGACUGGGACGCGUCCCCGGAUGAGUGUACCUGAAGAAAAAGCAUCGGCUAACUCCGUGCCAGCAGCCGCGGUAAUACGGAGGAUGCGAGCGUUAUCCGGAUUUAUUGGGUUUAAAGGGUGCGCAGGCGGUCUGUUAAGUCAGCGGUCAAAGCCCGGGGCUCAACCCCGGCCCGCCGUUGAAACUGGCAGUCUCGAGUUGGAGAGAAGUAUGCGGAAUGCGCGGUGUAGCGGUGAAAUGCAUAGAUAUCGCGCAGAACUCCGAUUGCGAAGGCAGCAUGCCGGCUCCACACUGACGCUGAGGCACGAAAGCGUGGGUAUCGAACAGGAUUAGAUACCCUGGUAGUCCACGCAGUAAACGAUGAAUGCUGGCUGUCCGGGGGGACUGACCCCUGGGUGGCGAAGCGAAAGCGAUAAGCAUUCCACCUGGGGAGUACGCCGGCAACGGUGAAACUCAAAGGAAUUGACGGGGGCCCGCACAAGCGGAGGAACAUGUGGUUUAAUUCGAUGAUACGCGAGGAACCUUACCCGGGCUCAAACGGGGAGUGGCGCAGGCAGAGACGCCUGUUUCCCACGGGACACUCCCCGAGGUGCUGCAUGGUUGUCGUCAGCUCGUGCCGUGAGGUGUCGGCUUAAGUGCCAUAACGAGCGCAACCCCCGCGUGCAGUUGCUAACAGUCAACGCUGAGGACUCUGCACGGACUGCCGGCGCAAGCCGCGAGGAAGGCGGGGAUGACGUCAAAUCAGCACGGCCCUUACGUCCGGGGCGACACACGUGUUACAAUGGGUGGUACAGCGGGAAGCCAGGCGGCGACGCCGAGCGGAACCCGAAAUCCACUCUCAGUUCGGAUCGGAGUCUGCAACCCGACUCCGUGAAGCUGGAUUCGCUAGUAAUCGCGCAUCAGCCAUGGCGCGGUGAAUACGUUCCCGGGCCUUGCACUCACCGCCCGUCA
rnacentral:rRNA from 1 species